UGUCACAGAUUCUGACUGAGAGUCACAGCCUCAGAGGCAUCGUAAACAAGCGUUAUAUUUCUCUAUAAACGAUGGUGUCUGUACUGCCUUACCACUUCGAGCUCGAUCCAGAGAGUUCAGAAGGCCGUUACGAUAUAAACGAUCUCCGUCAAUGAAUGCGAUUGGAUUUAACUUUUUUAGGUGUCCUUAGCUCUGCCAGAAUGCUAAACGAAGACGAAAAUGUGUUGCAAAGACAUCCAAAAGGUUUUAAGGAGAAUGCAACAGGUUCCAGGGCCUCUUACCUGCGUGAUUCAUCAUCCAGGUUUUGCACAAAUUGUCUAAAUCCCUACACACAGAACAUUUAUUGUACCGACUAUAAGCCUUUGAGGUGCAGGACUAGAAUACGCUUGGAGCUUCCUGAUCGGAAUGUUGGCUUCCGACGACCCCUGCACUCAAGAUGGCAUGCAAUCACGUCCUCCUUUGAAGGUCUCUCAAACUGUGAUGCCAGGUCCAUUGGAAUCGGGGUUUCCUUCAGC